AUUGAACGCUGGCGGCAUGCCUUACACAUGCAAGUCGAACGGUAACAGGUCUUCGGAUGCUGACGAGUGGCGAACGGGUGAGUAAUACAUCGGAACGUGCCCGAUCGUGGGGGAGUAACGCAGCGAAAGACUGUGCUAAUACCGCAUACGAUCUACGGAUGAAAGACGGGGGAGUCGCAAGACCUCGCGCGAAUGGAGCGGCCGAUGUCAGAUUAGGUAGUUGGUGGGGUAAAGGGACGUCACCAAGCCAACUGAUCUGUAGCUGGUCUGAGAGGACGACCAGCCACACUGGAACUGAGACACGGUCCAGACUCCUACGGGAGGCAGCAGUGGGGAAGUUUUGGUACAAUGGGCGCAAGCCUGAUCCAGCCAUUCCGCGUGCAGGAUGAAGGCCUUCGGUUGG
rnacentral:rRNA from 1 species